rnacentral:rRNA from 1 species
CAGCGAUGCGUUGAGCUAACCGGUACAAAUGAACCGUGAGGCUUAACCUUACAACGCCGAAGGUGUUU